UUCGCACAGGCUUCUGGGACUUGUAGUUCUUUAAGGACGCGGAGUGGGCUCACGCCGCGGGCAGGCAAACAGAGCGGGACUGCAUUUCCCAGGGUGCACUGAAGACACAGAGGCGCGGAGCAGGGCGGGAGGACGGUUUCCAUAGCAAAGACUACCCGCCGGGGAUGGCUGGCGGAGAAGUAGGGCAGGCUGCAGGACCCUCGAAGGAUCGUGUGAGACCCCGGGCAACCUCUUGGGAGGCAAUUUCGAGGAGAAAACGUCGAUUUCUGCCUCGGGACCCUGGGCCUCAGUUGUACUAUUUUGGAAGAAGGGCAAAGAGCUGUGCCCCCGACCACACCCGUCGGUGAUGGGCAAGCCGCUUUGGUUCCUGCCCAGCAAAGGGCCUUCCUAUCUCCGUCUUCCCAUCGCGAGUCCUGGCCUCCUUCACACCAUCCCUGGAUACAGCGGCGUCUCCCCCAGCGCAGCAGGAGGGCGCUUCACAUGUCCCCGGAACUAAGCCCACUCUCCCCAGCAUGGCUGUAAAGGCCCUUCAAGAUCCGGACUCCACCUUUUUGCAACACUCUUAACUUCUUUGGAAGCUACUUACUUGGGCCCCUCCACCCUGCCCUCAGCUAACUCCUCAGAAAGCCCUAGCCUAGACACCGCCUGUUUGGGAAGACUUCCUAGAUGCUGGGCUCUCUGUUGAGUGCCCCACCCUGUGUUUGAGCAGCACCCUCUACUUCCCCUAUUCUACUUGCAUGUUCAUGUACUUGUCUUCUUUAUAAGAUCUACAAAGGCGGAGCUAUGUCUGUAUUAUUCAUACUUACAAUCCAGUGUCUAUAGCAUCUGGCACAUAGUAGACACUCACUAGCUAUCGAGAUAUAAAUAUAGAUAUUUGUUGAACUGAAAAUGAAUUGGGCCAGGCACGGCAGCUCCCGCCUGUAAUCUCAGCACUUUGGAAGGCCGAAGAGGGCGGAUCACCUAAGGCCAGGAGUUCGAGACCAGCCUGGCUAACAUGGUGAAAGCUGUCUCUACUAAAAAUACAAAAAAUUAGCUAGGCGUGGUGGUGUGUGCUGGUAAUCCCAGCUAUUCAGGAGACUGAGGCGGGAGAAUCGCUUGAAGUUGCAGUGAGCGGAGAUUGUACCACUGCACUCCAGCCUGGGUAACAGAGGGAGACCCUGUCUUAAAGAGAAAGAAAAAGGAUAAAAUUGAAAAAAAUAAAGGAGCCUCAUUCACAUACACCUCCAAAAUUCUGAUUUCCUAAACUUGGGCAUUUCUCAUUGCUGGAAGUGUUCAAUUACAGGGAUGCCACCCCCUUGAAGAAAUGUUUAUUUGUACAGAGGGUUGGGAUUUUACUUGAAGGCUUUGAGUACUCUUUAAUCCUAUGAUGCUAGAGAUUGAUGGACUCAUGCCUAUUAUUCCUGUCAGUUCUCCCUGAAAUGUCAUCAAUUCUUCAUGUUCCUCUAUUUCUAGUUGUUGGCCCAACUCCUUUCUGUGCCUAAAUGCCCUACCUCCCACUCCUUUUCUGAAAAAGAUUUGCUCUGUCAGUUAUGAAGUACAGAUGUCCUAAGAUUCCUGCUCUUUAUUCCUUCCUUCCUCUUUGUUUUCUUUCUUUUCUCUUUUUUUUCUUUCUUAUUGGACAAUGCCAAGUGUAUGAUAAAAUAUAUUGUUUGCCAAGAAGAAUGAUGGCAAGGAAAACCUAGCCACCCCCCUCCCCAAGCGGAAAACUACUUGGGGCAUUCUAAAGUAGCAAAACAGUAUAUAUGUAUCAUACACAGAUUGAAACAAUUCUUUAACCACGGGAUAUGUGACCCUGCCCCCAUGGCUUCCUCGUGGGGAAUACUUGCUAGUUGGUCCUUGAUCAGUGGUAGGCAGGCACCAGCUGCCUAUCUAGUUUAUCUUGGUUCUAUGAGAAAACACAGAACACCUGUUUGUUAAUAAUAUUCACCUGCUCAGAGAGAAUAAAUACGUGGGUCAGAAUUUGCCCGAGGCCCUCAGUCUGGAAUGUUGUCAGCCUCUGAGGCUCUCAGCUGGAAAGGUUGUUCCCACUUUGCUGUCCUAUCUGGGUGUUUGCUCCUUAAUUCCUUCAGUGCUGCCUGGGUUGGGGGUCUCUAUGGCAGAGCUGGUCUCGGUAUUCCCUGCCUUCCUCCCUCCCACCGUUUUUUCCCCCCUUUCUUCCUUCUUUCCUUGUGUUUCUGUCUUUUUUCUUUGUCUUUUCUGUUGUCUUUCUUCUUUUUUUUUUGAGAUGGAGUUUCAUUCUUGUUGCCCAGGCCAUAGGUGCAAUGGUACGAUCACAGCUCAUUGCAACUUAUGCCUUCCAGGCCUGCCUCAGCCUCCGAAAGUGUGGGAUUACAGGCAUGAUCCACCAUGCCUGGCCUCCUGCUCUUCUUUCAACCCUCUGCUCAGCAUCUUGGGCCUCAUUGGUGAUGAGGUGCCUUGUAGGUAGCAUCUUUCCUGAAUAUUUCUCUACUAAAUAUUCUGGUGUUGGCUAGAUGGUCUAGUUCAUCUACACAUUUCAUUUAUCACCUUCUCCAGAUGUUUUUUGUUUAUGUCAGCCAAUACAUUCUAGGGAGAAUGCCUUAAUAUAUGGGAAUAAUUAACUCGUGGCCAAGAAGGAAGUAACCAAGGGGAUGUUUGCUAUGAACCUAAUUCAAACCAAAGAGACAGAGCCUGAGAGAAAGCAACUCUGUCAUCCUUGAGUUGGUAACAUCCAGGAAGGGAAGGCUAGGGUGGGGGAGUGAGUAAAACAGAUGGCAUUUAGGGAAGAACCAACAGGACUUUAAGAGUCAUGGCAGAGGGGAUUUGAUCCUGGCUAAACCAUCAGGGAAGGCAGUUGGAGCUGGAUGAACAGAUGGGGCCUUAUUACUGAAGAGAAAACUGUAAGGAGGCAGGGGGAAGUCAGAUGUGUGCUAAAGCAGAGUGCCUCAUUCAGUGGAUGCACUGAGAGCAGAGGCUGAUGGAAAAGUGGAUCAAGGGAGGACGAUGCCCCAGGUGGGCAUCAGCAGACUAUCAGCUGAGUAUCGCAGAGGGAUACCAAAGAAGUCCACCUGGAGUCAGAGCUGAAACCCUUCGGAGGUUAGUUUACCCCUUCAGAAGUAGUGUACCACCAUCCAUCUACCACUGGAAUCCAAUUUCAGUUUUAGCAAAUUAUUAUAAAUUGGAAAAAGUUAGGGUUCCACAAUUCUGUUAGCACUCAGAGACUAUAACAACGUUUGCCCAGCCAAGUAGAGUUAGAAAACCUGGAUCCUAAUCCUGACUUUGCCUCUGAUUAGAUGUGUGACCCUGGACUGAACCUGUUUCUUCAGUUGUAAAAUGCUGUUUAUUGGUGUUAGGUAGCAGCUAAUAAGGGUGGAGGUGGGGUGUGGUGGUUAACACCUGUGAUCUCAGCAACUGGACAGGCCAAGGCAGGAGGACUGCUUGAGACCAGCCUGGGCUACAUAGUGAGACUCUGCCUCUACCAAAAAUUUACAAAAAUUAACAUUGUGCAGUGGUGCAUGCCUGUAGUCCCAGCUACUCGGGAGGUUGGGGUGGGAGGAUUGCUUGAUCCCGGGAGUUCAAGGCUACAGUGAACUAUGAUCAAUCACACCACUGCAUUCUAGUAGCCUAAGUGAUAGAGCAAGACCCUGUCUCAUAAAAAAAGAAUUUUUUUUAAAUGGUGGAGGUAGGGAAAUUCAAAGCUACUUACUAGCUGUGUGACUUUGCCUAAACUACCUUCUUGGAUUUGUAGUCUGUUUAUUUGAAAAUACCAUAAGGGAUAAAUGAGGUACUUUAUGUAAAAUACUUUAUAAAUAUUAAGCACUUACCAAAUAUUAGUCUGUUUUCACAUUAUUCUUUUUGGAUUACCAGAAAUUGGUUUGACUAUGAAUAAACAGGCAGGAGGUAAUUUCUUGGGUAAUCUGAGUUUGAAUCCCCUUCUCUCCCUUACUAAUGGUAUGACUUUGCUUAGAUUAUUUAAUAUUUAAUUGUUCUAGGUCUCAGUUUUCUCAUUAGUGAAAUUAAAAUGAUGUUUUCCACAGAAUUGUGAGGGUCCAAUGAAAUAAAAGGCCUGACUCAUAUGAGAAAAUGCUCAAUA